UACGAAGGGGGGCGAGCGUUUGUUCGGAUUUACUGGGCGUAAAGGGCGCGCAGGCGGCUCAUUUUGUCAGGCGUGAAAGCCCCGGGCUUAACCUGGGAAUUGCAUUCGAUACUGGAUAGCUAGAGUUCGGCAGAGGGAAGUGGAAUUUCAGGUGUAGCGGUGAAAUGCGUAGAUAUCUGAAGGAACAUCAGUGGCGAAAGCGACUUCCUGGACCAGAACUGACGAUCAGGCACGAAAGCGUGGGGAGCAAACAGG
rnacentral:rRNA from 1 species